rnacentral:lncRNA from 1 species
AUGAUUUAUAACCACAGUUUAUUUGAUCCAACAAUAAAAUUCCAGAGUUUGGCAAGGUGAUGAAGGCCGUCGAGGCCGAAAUGUGAACGUGAUAUUGUUAAGCUAAAGAAAAUGCAUCUAUAAAUCACAUUACACAUCCUUAUGGGGAUUGCAGAUUAAUGUGCUCAAGUUGACAGGAUUUUGGACUCCAAAACCAGUUUUACAAAAUGGUCACAAGAAAAUAAAAAUCUAACUAACAAAACAAAUUUGAAGAAAUUGGGUGGGGAUAGGAAGAAAGGGAAACUUAAGGAAGGGCCCACAUCUCUGCAUGUGUGAACUCUGAUUGGGGAGUAAAGCCAAAAGGAGAACAUUUUGGCAAGUUGGAUUAUAAUGAUGAGUAGGGUUUAUUGAGCAUUUACUGUAUGCCAAGCACGAUGGGCCUUUAAGCGGUAUCUCAUUUCAUCCUCACAAUAGCGCAGUGGCGUAAGCAGCACAUUACAGCUGAGGCAACUGAAGCAUAGAGAAGUGAUAUAAUCCCCCAGGUAGCCCCCCUUGACCCUGGUGGAGACAAUAUUCAAACUGAGAGCCCCCGCACUCUCACCUCACAGACGGAGCAGACAGAUCAAAUGGAAAGGCUCCCCCAUCCUGUCCUCUACACCACCUUGCAGCUGGGCCUCAGCAACUGGGCUUUUAAUUUCAGUCUAAUUCAAGUCAGCAGCAUAGGGCAGCUCCUGGGAAAUUGGUUUACACAUGCGGACAAGCCCAGUAGCCCAGAGCUAACCCACUCACCAUCCCUGACCACAGAGGAGCAGAUAAGGAAGCAAGAUUUGUCGGGAGAAGCAGAGGGAGUUUUGAGACAGGAGAGGAGGCAGAAAGUAAAAUGAUAUGGUCAUAAGCCAUGGAACAUCUGGAGCUACUAGA